UUACUUACCUGGACGGGGUCGACGGUUGAUCAAGAAGAUCCGUGGCCUAGAUCAAUGACUCACAUUGCACAUUGUGAGAGCGUUGGUCUACCAUCUCCUCAAGUGGGAGAGUGGACGUCGUAAUUUGUGGUAGAGGGGGUACGCGUUCGCGCGGCCCCUGC